rnacentral:rRNA from 1 species
CAGCCGCCGCGGUAAUACGAGGGGGGCAAGCGUUGUUCGGAAUUAUUGGGCGUAAAGGGUGCGUAGGCGGUUUGGCAAGUUUGGUGUGAAAUCUUCGGGCUCAACUCGAAGUCUGCAUCGAAAACUGCCGGGCUUGAGUAUGGGAGAGGUGAGUGGAAUUUCCGGUGUAGCGGUGAAAUGCGUAGAUAUCGGAAGGAACACCUGUGGCGAAAGCGGCUCACUGGACCAUAACUGACGCUGAUGCACGAAAGCUAGGGGAGCAAACAGGAUUAGAUACCCCUGUAGUCCCUGUCUCUUAUAC